rfam:Streptomyces griseofuscus strain NG1-7 NG1-17_2_1, whole genome shotgun sequence.
CUUGAGCGAGCCGAGCCACAACGGCCGCUCCUGCGACCGUUCUUGGCCGUAGGUGGCGAUGAGGGCUUCCGCCUC